UAGAGAAAGCCCUCGCACAGAAACGAAGACCCAACACAGCAAAAAUAAAUAAAUUAAUUAAUAAACUCCUACCCCCAACAUCUUCUUUAAAAAAAAAAAAGGUAGAGUCUCUCUCUUUUUCUUUUUCGUUUUAUUUAUUUAUUUAUUUAUUUUUUGGCUGCGUUGGGUCCUCGUUGCUGCAUGCGGGCUUUCUCUAGUUGCAGUGCGUGGGCUUCUCAUUGCGGUGGCUUCCCUUGUUGCGGAGCACGGGCUCUAGGCGCGGGCUUCAGUAGUUGCAGCACGCAGACUCAGUAGUUGUGGCUUGCAGGCUCUAGAGCGCAGGCUCAGUAGUUGUGCCGCUCGGGCUUAGUGGCUCCGCGGCAUGUGGGAUCUUCCCGGACCAGGGCAUGAACCCGUGUCCCCUGCAUUGGCAGGCGGACUCUCAACCACUGCACCACCAGGGAAGUCCCAGUCCCCGCUUUUAAAAAUAUAUUUAUUUAUUUAGCUGUACAGGGUCCUAGUUGCUUCAUUGCGGCAGGCGGGAUCUUUAGUUGUGGCGUGCGUGUUCUUAGUUGCAGCAUUUGGGAUCUAGUUCCCUGACCAGGGAUUGAACCCGGGCCCCCUUCACUGGGAGUGCUGAGUCUUAACCACUGGACCACCAGGGAAGUCCCAAAAGAAGACUCUCGAGAUGGGGAGUUCAACAUAAUCACAUAUGGGACUUACCGGUGGUCCAGUGGUUAGGACUCAGAGCUUCCAGGGCAGGGGGCAUGGGUUCAAUCUCUGGUCAGGAAACUAAGAUCCCUCAAGCUACGUGUAGUGGCCAAAAAAAACCCCCAACAAAACAAAAAAAACAAACCAUAAUCACAUAAACCCAGCUGAGUGAUGGAGAUGGCUGCAGGAGGGGGAUUUGUCGCUGGUUCUGAGAGUGUGGGGGCUAUGUGUAAGACCUGGAGAGAGGCCACGAGACACUAAUAGAGGCCCCCUGCUGACAGCCAGCAACCUCACUCUUACAGCUGCAAGAAACUAAAUUCUACCAAUACCUAAAGAGCAAGGAAACCAGUUCUUCCCCGGAGCCUCCAGAAGGGAACUCAGCCCUGCAGACACCUUGAUUUUAGCUCAGUGAGAUAUGUACCCGACUUCUGUCUUACACAACCAUAAGAUAAUAAAUUUGUGUUGUUUUAUGCUCAUUUGUUACAGCAACAAGACUAAACUAAUACACAUGCCCAUCCCUUAAGCCAGUAAAGGCAAAGGAGACUGAGAUAACCUUGCCUGGCUUAAUCCAGUUGGGGAUUUUCCCCUGGGCCUGGGUGACAGGCCACGUUCCCUGAGGGUGCAGGCAACGGUCCAUAAAAUCAGGAAAGAGUACCACAACCAGGGUGGGGAUCAAGUAAGCUCCAGGACAGACAUGCCAGUGGUUUUCAGCCUUCUGUUUUGAUUGGUCUAGUCAUUAAACAUUUUAAGGAUCACCCGUGGUUGCAACCAGAGAUCCAUAAAGGCCCCCAGAAAUCACCCCCAUUACACCAGGACCCAGGCCUGAUUGGGGGAAAAAGAUGCAGAGAAUGGGCAAGCAGCUUCCCAGUCUCUGGCCAAGCUUCCAGAGCUCAACUCUGGAAAAUGCUACUUACCAUACUUCAUCAAACCCGAGAUGCCUUCAUUUGUAAGCUACGUCGUUAUUCCAUGAACCAACAAAAGAAAACAGUGCUGCCAGAUAAACAACAACAUGCCAUCGAUUGCAUGAUCAGUGUUAAAUGAGUAAGAUGUUAAAAUGAGAAAAAGGGUGCAUCUUAGAUUCAACCAAAUAGGAUGCUACAAAUCUGCCACCAACAGUCAUAGUUAAUUCUUUUUUUUAAUGAGACCUCUCUAUUUUUAUUCAUUUUUACAAAUUUAUUUAUUUAUUUGUUUAUUUUGGCUGCACUGGGUCUUCUUUGAGGCGUGCAGGCUUUCUCUAGUUGCGGGGCACAGGCUCUAGAGCUCGCAGGCUCAAUAGUUGCGGCGCAUGGGUUUAGCUGUGCUAUGUGGGAUCUUAGUUCCCUGACCAGGGGUCGAACCCGGGCCCCCUGCAUUGGGAGCACGGAGUCUUAUCCACUGGAACACCAGGGAAGUCCCAAGAGUUAACUCUUAUGAUGCUGCCAGCUCAGUCAAAAUUGGCAGGGGUGGUACUUAUGAGUUUCUAGGGAAGAUGGAGGCCAAGGUGGGAGGGUGAGAGUGUGCCUCUGGUGUUCCUUGAAGCCAAGACAAAGGAUGCGGGCUUCCCCCUGUAGGCAAUGGGCAGUCACUGAGGGGCUUCUGGCAGGAAGGAGGGGAGUAGGACAUCUCUGGUCACACGGCCCCUAGUUUCUGAAACGGUAUUUACAACUCCAUCUCAUAGCACAGCAUGAGAGACCAUUCCCCUUUUGCCCAAGAGACUUGGCCUAGAGCAACCUCUAAGCUCACCUUUGACUAGCACUGGUCACCCCUGGCACAAGUGAGGACGCAUUCAAAGGAUAGCUCUUUUUUAAUAAGGAGCUUGGGUUUACCCAUCCUGAUGUGCAUGGUCUGUGUGUCCUCUGAGUUAUUAGGUGACGGACAAACCCUCUUUUCCUCCACCCCAGGACUCUGGGGCCUGGAGGGGUAGGAGGGAUUGCACCAGAGGCCUGGUCUGGACAGAGAGAAACAUUGCAGAUGGAGCCCUGAGGGGUCACCAAGCAUCGGUUUUGCCACAAACUCCAUCCCUUUACCUGGUGUUGGCCCCGAAUCCAGGAAGUUUGGAGAUCUUUCCGACUACUGUUAUUUUAUUUUAACUUUUUAUUUCAUAUUGGAGUAUAGUUGAUUAACAAUCUUGUGAUAGUCUGAGGUGUACAGCAAAGUGAUUCAGUCAUACAUAUACAUGUAUCUAUUCUUUUUCAAAUUCUUUUCCCAUUUAGGUUGUUAAAUAAUAUUGAGCAGAGUUCCCUGUGCUAUACCUGACUACCUUUAUAAUUAGGAAAAAAAUCACAGCGUUACCACCUGAAAGUGCCCCAAGAAAUCACCUCAUUCUCUUAAUUUUUCUGAUUGGGAAAGAGUGCAGCUGGCCUGAGGUCACCCACCUGCAGAGUGGCAGAACCAGGCUGGAAUCCAAAUCUCCUGCCACCCCCAGGGCACGUCUGGAGAGGCAGGGAUGGGGACAGGAGUGCCAUCCCCAGGCACACCCUGCUCUGCCUCCUACUGGCCUGGGGCCUUGGGCCUGUUACUUAAUAUCUCUGGGCUUCUAUUUCCUCGUAUGCAAGUUGGGGCUACCAGCAGUACCUGUAGCCGAGGUUGUUGUGAGGAUUAAGUUUAGAAGUUCGUGAGAGGGCAGAGACAAUUGCCUGCCAGCUAGUAAUUGCUCCACCCAGAGCGAUCGCUGUUGCUGUUAUUUUUCUGUGCUAUCUCAGGCCGCCUCCAUCACUUAACUCCUGCUAUCAAACUGGAGGUCUGAACUUUGAGACUUUGGAACUGAGGCAUCCGUGGAAUUUGCUCCCCUUGCUAAUCUGGCAAAGUCAACAAACUCUUUCCGUCCAACCUGACGGGAGCCUCUUGGAGAUGUUAGGUCAUGGCAUGGAAGAGUUUGGUGUGAGGUCCCAGGGAGCUGGGUGGAGGGAGAGUGGGCAGCCCCACUGGGGGAAAGAGGAGGCUUUCCAGGGGCUGGGGGAGACCAGCUGAGGGUGCAGGAGCCAACAAGCGCUGGGUGGGGCACUUGGCAUGUGAACUGAGUGUGGAAGGCCAGGAAGGGGGGUGUGAUUGGGCCUUCACGCUAGAAAGGAAGGGGACUGGAGUCGAUGAAAAGAAGCAUUUUCUGUGGCGCUCAGGAAGGGCCUCUCACUGGGGAUUUCCUACCCGGGGCCGCAGGCCUUGGCCGCCUUCCCGGGGAAGGUGGCGCUGGUCAUGAGGAGCUUGCACACUGCGAGGCUUCCGUCUAGGGACGGAGGGUGUCCGCUCCUGUCUCUGGCGCUGCCGGGCUCCCUGGGCCUUGUUCAGCUGGGAACAAAAGGCUCUUUGCUUGAACCGCACACUUCAGACGUCUCCAUGCAAGACAGGGACACUGAGGUCCAGGCGGAAGUGGAAGAGGGGACUGGAGACGAUGAAUAGUGGGGAGUAGGGGAGGUCAGGGCCUCGCAGGGCGUGCCUUGGAGGCUGAGCAGAGGGGCUGUUUCCAAGGAACAGGGCUUGGCACAGGGUCUAGCGUGGCCCUAAGACUGCAGGCCAGCCCCAGACCACUGGUCAUGCCGACGUGGCUGGUCCAAGGAGCUCGAUGUGGUCUAAGGCGAAACCUCCUUGGAGAAAAGAAUUUCAAAAUUAAAAAAAAAAAGAAAGCACAAUCAACUCCCUUUUUCUCUUUUUCCCAACCGCAGUCAAAAAGUACUGUAUCUGCUAUUGAAAAAUCACAUCUCAGAAGCAGCACCACUUGCUGACAGCAUCUGCCAAGAUUUCCGAUGAGGCUGAUGGAAACUCGUUCCAUUUUCAUGCUGUAUAAUGAGUAGACAGAGUCCUCGCACAUCUGCUCAGGCGAGAUAAUGAUGAUAUUAUUACUAGAAGCAUUGUGCUGCAAAGAGAAUCUAUUUUUUUCCUCUCUCCUACCCCCUGCCUAUAUCUAGCCUCACUUUCUUUCCACUCUUCUCUCUUUACUGUCCUGUGUCUCUCUGCUUCUCGUGUUUAUUUUCUUGCUCUCUCUCUUCCUGUUCUUUCUUUCUUUCCUCACCUCAGUGCCCCACCCAGCUUGUGGAAACCCAGGGGACAAAGUGAGGAAUUCUUCUCCUAUGGAGGAGGGACCGCUGAGAAGGCGCUGGGGCCAGGGGCUGGCUGCCGAGAUCAGGGGAGAGGGGUCUUGGGUCCCUCCUCCGAACCCUGGGGUCGCCUGCAUUGGAGGGCCCUCUCCCACUCCCCAGCAAGAGCCCUUCUGCCCCGUCAGAGAAACCUCUGGGCUUGCCCUGUGCCCAACCUCAUCAGCAAAGAAUCAAGUGAGACAGCAGUGUGACCAGCUCACUUCUGCCAGAGAGACAACAGAUGGAAAGGGCUUCAUGUAUUUAGCAUCCAGGAAUAUUUUGCAUCAUAACUGGACACUUUCUGGAUACGUGACUGAUUUACAAAGGGAUGAAACUUUCACGUUGGAAUAUAGUAACAAAAAAUCAGAAUGUGUGGGGGAGUAUCAGGGUCAGGGGGAGCCUUCCUUGUGUUUCUCAAAUCAUUCAUUCAUUCAUUUUUGUCAACAGUCUCUCAGCACCUAUUCUGCGGUAGGGAAUGAGCUGGUUGCUAAGGCACACAGAUGGAAAGCUAUGGUUCCCGUCUCCCAGGGCCUUAAAUCUACCCCACGGCUAAGUUCUACCCAACCCAGAUAUAUCUUUGUUCUUGAACAUGCCUCCUGUGUGGAAGCAGGAUCCCCUUGGGGCCCCUUCACUAUGCAAUUACCUUGGGCACCAGUAUAAAGAUGGAGUGGUAUGAAUUCCCUCACGUUGAUCCUUUAAUCCAUCCGUCCAUUUGCUCAUCUACCUACCCAUCCAACCAUACACCCUUCCACCCACCCAUCCAUCCACCCACCCUUCCACCCACCCAUCCAUCCACCCACCCUUCCACCCAUCCAUCCAUCCAUCCACCCACCCUUCCACCCAUCCAUCCAUCCAUCCAUCCACCCACCCUUCCACCCAUCCAUCCAUCCAUCCAUCCACCCACCCUUCCACCCAUCCAUCCAUCCAUCCACCCACACUUCCACUCAUCCAUCAUCCUUCCAAGCAUGCAGUAGGAGGUCAAUUAACAGCUCAGUGAGGAGCGGGGCACCCCUAAACCAUUAUUGUGGUUGGGAACUAGGCAAAGACACACCCAGUAGUUGCAUGUAGUGUUCAUGAUUGACAACUCGCAAAUGAAUGGUUCCUGAAUCCUGGGCUGUGAUGUGAGAAAGAGAGAUGGGAUGAAUUUCAAGGACUGAUUACAAAGAUUCACAGGGAGCUGCUUAAAUUUAAUCAAAAGAGUGUCUGCCUUUCUCCCCAGACUGGGCGAGAGCUGCUCGGGGAAGGCAGAGGCUCGUGUAAACUGUCCUUCCACAGAGUUCUUGCUAUGGAGCUUUUCCUCGCAGUGAUGCCCACUGCAUCACAGAGGUGCCAUUCUGAUAGUUCUUGCUUUCUUCUUAAACAAACUAAGGCUAAGUUCCCCAGAGAGUUUCCAUUGAAAGAUGCCCCCCAAAUUGGAGAACUCGGUGGAAAUCAAGAUCUGAAAUCAUUCCUUUGCUCCCCAAAUGUUGUAUUCCAGUAUUUUCCUGGUUGCAGGACUUCUGACUGAAAUGUACUCAUUUCUUUUCUUUUUUUUUGGCCGAGCCGUGCAGCAUGCGGGACCUUAGUUCCGCAACCAGGGUUCAAACCCACACCCCCUUCAUUGGAAGCACGGAGUCUUAACCACUGCAUCGCCAGGGAAGUCCCCUGAAAUGUACUCAUUUCUAAUGUUAAUUUGAGUUGUGUCUCUUUUUAAAAAUGCCCCCCACUUCCCUUCUGAAUGUCAGGUGGCACACUCAUUAGUCGUCUGGAAUAAGUCUGUCUCCAGCUGAAUGAGAGUUGGAAAGAGGAAAUAGGGGGCAGUGGUUAGAGCCCUGAGUGGUCAGGAGUCCUGGUUCCCAUGUCUUACUCUGCCACUGAGUCACUUGCUGCCACUGGACAAGCGACUUGGUUUUUCGGAGUUACCACCUAACUGCCGAAGAUCAUGCAACGCCUUCAUGCGUGCCCCCAGGGCUGACUGCUUCCACUGCCCUGACCUUAGUAUACCACUGAUUCCACUAAACCGCUGUGGUAUCAGAGGCAAGAAUGUUGUGCCUGAUAUAAUAUGCUGGACUGUCGGAGCACCAACACCACACUUUGUCAAGCUGGAGCUCCAUCAGCAAGACACUUCAACAGUGGCUGGCUACAUUGGAUCUUCGUCGCUGUGCACGGGCUUUCUCCAGUUGCGGAGAAUGGGGGCCACUCUUCGUUCGGGCACUCAGGUCCUUCAUUGCGGUGCCUUCUCUUGUUGCGGAGCACUUGCUCCAGGCUCCCGGGCUUCAGUAGUCGUGGCUCGGGAGCUCCAGAGUGCAGGCUCAGCAGCCGUGGCGCACGGGCCCAGGGCCCAGCUGUUCCGCGGGAUCUUCCGGGACCAGGGCUCAAACGUGCGUCCCCUGAAUUGGCAGGCGAAUUCUCAACCACUGCACCACCAGGGAAGCCCUCCACGAGUACUUUUCAAACUUAAUAUUAAACAGAAACUUUCAAUGAGAAAGUUCUUUUCUUCUUCAGUGUUUAUUCUUCCACUUUUUCGGAUCAAUUAACAUCGAAGGUAGACUUUGGAUAAAACGUGUAAAACUAAUUUAUAGUAGCACAAAGUUCUCAAAAGUUAAGAGAGCACAACUGCACCGAUCCAUCCAUUCCCGCCCAUUGGAAAGCAAGUUCCCCGAGGGCAGGGUCUUUGCUGCAUAUUCCUAGCAAUCUGAACCGUGCCUAACCCUCUCUAGCUCUCAGUGAAUACUUGGUUAACCGUCCAUUCAUUAUCAUCCGUGCAGGCCGCUGUGGCCAACGAGGAUGCCGGCCAGCACCGAACCUGAGCGGCUCUCAGCCCCUCAAGGCCACAGCCCGCA